rnacentral:rRNA from 1 species
UACGUAGGGUGCAAGCGUUGGUCCGGAAUUAUUGGGCGUAAAGAGCUCGUAGGUGGCCUGUCGCGUCGGCUGUCGGAAAACUACGGGGCUGCAACUCCGAGCGUUGGCAGUCGAUACGGGCAGGCUAGAGUUCGGCAGGGGAGACGUGGAAGUUCCUGGUGUAGCGGUGGAAAUGCGCAGAUAUCAGGAGGAACACCGGUGGCGAAGGCGGGUCUCUGGGCCGAUACUGACGCUGAGGAGCGAAAGCGUGGGGAGCGAACAGG